rnacentral:rRNA from 1 species
UAGGGAAUCUUCCACAAUGGGCGAAAGCCUGAUGGAGCAACGCCGCAUGUGUGAUGAAGGGUUUCGGCUCGUAAAACACUGUUGUAAGAGAAGAAUGACAUUGAGAGUAACUGUUCAAUGUGUGACGGUAUCUUACCAGAAAGGAACGGCUAAAUACGCGCCAG